UCAAAGUGGCUAAAUACCUCCCAAACAAAUUAAUUUGGUUUAAAGCUGGAAAUAAUGUUUUGAAGUCAAACAAUGAUUCAAUCACGGAAGCCUACCAAAAAAAUAAAAUGAUCCAAUCACGGAAGACGGCAGUUAACAAACGCCGUUAAAGAAACUGAUCACACCGUAAGACUCGAGCCAAAUAUAAUUAACGGAGUUAGGCUGCUUCUUCACACCUUCGUU